CCUAGCGGCAGACGGGUGCGUAACAUGUGGGAAUCUGCCUUUUGGUUCGGAAUAACACGGGGAAAACUGUGCUAAUACCGUAUACGCCCUUAGGGGGAAAGAUUUAUUGCUCUUUGAUGAGCCCGCGUUAGAUUAGCUAGUUGGUGGGGUAAAGGCCUACCAAGGCUACGAUCUAUAGCUGGUUUGAGAGGAUGACCAGCCACACUGGGACUGAGACACGGCCCAGACUCC
rnacentral:rRNA from 1 species